AGUGAACGCUGGCGGUAGGCCUAACACAUGCAAGUCGAACGGCAGCACAGUAAGAGCUUGCUCUUACGGGUGGCGAGUGGCGGACGGGUGAGGAAUACAUCGGAAUCUACUUUUUCGUGGGGGAUAACGUAGGGAAACUUACGCUAAUACCGCAUACGACCUACGGGUGAAAGCAGGGGAUCUUCGGACCUUGCGCGAUUGAAUGAGCCGAUGUCGGAUUAGCUAGUUGGCGGGGUAAAGGCCCACCAAGGCGACGAUCCGUAGCUGGUCUGAGAGGAUGAUCGGCGACACUGGAACGGAGACACGGUCCAGACGCCUACGGGAGGCAGCAGUGGGGAAUAUUGGACAAUGGGCGCAAGCCUGAUCCAGCCAUACCGAGUGGGUGAAGAAGGCCUUCGGGUUGUAAAGCCCUUUUGUUGGGAAAGAAAAGCAGCAGGUUAAUACCCCGCUGUUCUGACGGUACCCAAAGAAUAAGCACCGGCUAACUUCGUG
rnacentral:rRNA from 1 species